rnacentral:rRNA from 1 species
AUUGAACGCUGGCGGCAUGCCUUACACAUGCAAGUCGAACGGUAACGGGCCUUCGGGUGCCGACGAGUGGCGAACGGGUGAGUAAUACAUCGGAACGUGCCCGAUCGUGGGGGAUAACGAGGCGAAAGCUUUGCUAAUACCGCAUACGAUCUACGGAUGAAAGCAGGGGACCGCAAGGCCUUGCGCGGACGGAGCGGCCGAUGGCAGAUUAGGUAGUUGGUGGGAUAAAAGCUUACCAAGCCGACGAUCUGUAGCUGGUCUGAGAGGAUGAUCAGCCACACUGGGACUGAGACACGGCCCAGACUCCUACGGGAGGCAGCAGUGGGGAAUUUUGGACAAUGGGCGAAAGCCUGAUCCAGCCAUGCCGCGUGCAGGAUGAAGGCCUUCGGGUUGUAAACUGCUUUUGUACGGAACGAAAAGCCUUCUUUUAAUACAGGAGGGUCAUGACGGUACCGGAAGAAUAAGCACCGGCUAACUACGUG